rnacentral:rRNA from 1 species
CCUACGGGUGGCAGCAGUGAGGAAUAUUGGUCAAUGGACGAGAGUCUGAACCAGCCAAGUAGCGUGAAGGAUGACAGCCCUAUGGGUUGUAAACUGCUUUUAUAAAGGAAUAAAACGAGGCACGUGUGCCUUUUUGCAUGUACUUUAUGAAUAAGGAUCGGCUAACUCCGUGCCAGCAGCCGCGGUAAUACGGAGGAUCCGAGCGUUAUCCGGAUUUAUUGGGUUUAAAGGGAGCGUAGAUGGGUUGUUAAGUCAGUUGUGAAAGUUUGCGGCUCAACCGUAAAAUUGCAAUUGAUACUGGCAGUCGUGAGUACAGUUGAGGUAGGCGGAAUUCGUGGUGUAGCGGUGAAAUGCUUAGAUAUCACGAAGAACCCCGAUUGCGAAGGCAGCUUACUAAACUGUGACUGACAUUGAUGCUCGAAAGUGUGGGUAUCAAACAGGAUUAGAUACCCCUGUAGUC